UCGUGAUCCGCCCACCUGGGGCUCCCAAAGUGCCGCGAUUACAGGCGUGAGCCACUGCGCCUGGCCCACCAUUGGCCACCCUUUUCAUUCUUAACUGAGACUCCUCCCUGCACCCCAGCUCCUGUCGAUGCUCGACUUCCUCCCGCCUCCGAGGGGCCGCGAGUCUACCGACUGGCGGGGUAACUCCCCUUGCCAACCCCACGAAAUGGCCCGCAGUUUGGCUGAGACGGUUACAGCGCUACCGUCAUGUCCCUCCGAGGAGAUGGCAGCAGCCUUUCGCUCUCAUUGGUCUCUAAAUGAACCGUCAUGUACCUGUGGACGGCCUGAGGAAUUACCGAUCUCAUUUCCAACCUGCACCCCGCCACGCUUCCACCGCGGCGCUCACCGCCCCCAUUAUUUUGAAGCACAACUCAGAAUCGUAAACAUUUCGGUACCAAUUUCUAAAGAUGGAGACUCUUCGAACAGAGUGACAUCUUUAUUAUAUCUCUUCAAGUCACAAUGUCAAAUAUCAAGUGAAUGAAUUUCCCUACUUGAUGGAAAUUUGGGGGUUUUCCGUUUAUUUAAAUAAGGAUCCAAAUAAGUUCUACAGCUUAAAGUUAACUGACAUGUCACUUAAGUCACUUUCUUCAGUCUCUUGGCAUUUCUCUUUUAUCUCUUUCAAUAGAUUUCUUGGGGAAACUAGAUUUUAUCCUGUAGAGUUUCCCGCAAUCUGGACUUCACUGAUUAGUCAGGGUGCUAUAUUUCAUGCUUCUCUGCCCUCUGUGUUUUCUAUAAACUGAUAGCAAAAUAAAUAAAUAAAAAUAAACUGAUAAUAGGCUUGAUCUGA